rnacentral:rRNA from 1 species
UACGGGGGGAGCAAGCGUUGUUCGGAUUUACUGGGCGUAAAGGGCGCGUAGGCGGCGCAACAAGUCACUUGUGAAAUCUCCGGGCUUAACCCGGAGCGGCCAAGUGAUACUGUCGUGCUAGAGUGCGGAAGGGGCUACUGGAAUUCUCGGUGUAGCGGUGAAAUGCGUAGAUAUCGAGAGGAACACCUGCGGCGAAGGCGGGAUAGCUGGGCCGACACUGACGCUGAGGCGCGAAAGCCAGGGGAGCGAACGGG